GCUGUGUGGCCAUGUCUUUAGGGCUGAUGAGGGACAGCUUUGUACUUGGGCUCUGAUGUUGCUCUGUACUUUGAAGCUUCUUCAUUUUCCUCCUCUCCCUCUUCGCCGCUCUCCGCUUUUUGUUCUUCAAGUAACUGUCUUCUGUUUGGUAUAAGAAGUCUACGAUUAUCGCAAUCUGCAAUUACAAAGAAGCGUUAGAACCACGUCCCUUCCCCUAUGGAAAAGCAUUAGAAACUUUUGCAAUUAGUUUAUUUCAGAACNUUGGCAAACCUGCCCAUGGCAGGGGGUUGGAACUAGAUGAUCUUUAAGGUCCCUUCCAACCUUUCUAUGACUUCAUUCACAGUGGGACAUUCACUACUGUUGUUGCUUCAGAAGAGUUCCUUGGCUCUGUCAUUCUCAGAGAAAAGCAGCUGGAUGAGAUGGGUUGUCUGCCUUUCCUCAGUGCCGCACUUGAAGAUUUAUGAAACAGGCAUUCCACUGAGCUCAGCAAAUGAUGGGCAUAAUAACUUAUCUACAUUGCAAAGUAUGUGAUGCCCUUGAGGUAAACUACGAUGUGAAGGUUUUAUGAAGUGUCUCACAUGUAGAAGUGUUUAUUUGCCAGCUCCUGUCUGUCCUUUGGCUGUUCAAAUGAUGUUAAGAGGAUCCUAUGAAACCACUAUGAAAGCCUAGAGGCUAAAUUGAGAAGUAGAACUGCGUUAUUAUCUUCAGAGCACAGCCAUAUUGGCACCUGCUGCCCUAUUUGGCUCUCCUCUCUUUGGAUGUCAGAAGUUUCCAGUUGAUGGGAUCUAAAGUAUUUGUUUAUUUAAUGAAAUGCCUCUUGCUGUGUAAUACUGUGAGGCUUUAUUAAUGAAUUUAUUUUUAUGAGGCAGGAAAGCAAUCCCUUGUAAUACUUCUCUUUGAAAAUUGCAGGGAAGUGAAGGCUUUCUGGAGGAAAGGAGGGGCCUUCCUGCCCCUUCAUUUAUCUCAGGUAUCAUAAACCUCUCCACGUUUCCACAGCUGCUAUAAAGUCCUGCAGCUGCCAUACAGAGACCUGAUUCCUUGAGUUACUUAGUGCCAAGCUUGAUCAUGGGCCUUACAUCCGGCUGUGUGGAUUUUCCUGAAUUGCUGAUGCACAGCGUGUGUGUGGGGGCGUCAGGGCUACUGCUCCAUCAGCCCCAUCCCAUGGGAGCUGGCAAUAUCUGAGCUCACAUAUAAUCAAGGGGGCUGCCCCUGAAAGUCUUUGUAAAAUCCCAGAGAAUAGGGAUUUGGAGAGCCUGACCCAGCCCACGUUUCCUUUCUGUUUUUCAAGGACCCCUGAGAUGUAGUUUAGCCUCUGUAGGAAGAGGGUUCUUCACCUGUGCUCUCUGGCCAGGCCCUGUGGCUGGAGUCUGCAGCCUGGUAGUAUUGAGAGAGGAGUGCUCUCAGCGGUGCUGUUCUCUUUUCUCCAGCUAAUUGCUGGGUCAUUUUUCUUUCCUUUGUAUUUAAUGCUUCCGAAAAUAAUUAGCCCAUUUGAGAAAUUAUUGCGCUUAAAAACAUACAUUUGUCAGUGAAUUGGGUGAGCAGCGCAGAGCCCAAAAACACUUGAAG
ensembl:lncRNA